GAGCAUGCGCCCGACGACUCCAAACCAGCAACUGUUGCUCCUAAGCGCUACGCGUGCGGGCGAGCUGCCGGUUCUCGGACCGCCGGCUCAGCGAUCUCCUCCUUCUAAACCAGGCUGCCCCUCAUCUGUUUCCACGGCGGCACCGAACGAACGCGGCCGCCAUUCCGCCGAUCGGCCACGCGGGGGCGCCAGAGACCGCGGAAACGACGACUCCGAGCGGAUCGACGUUGACCCGCACCGCCUCGUCCCGUGAGGCGGCCCGAACCGCCGCGGAGCGGCCGCUGCCCUCGGGGGAGCCGUGCGGGGAAGCGGGGCGGCGCUGAGCUUCGGGAGCGAGGAGGAGGAGCGGGAAGGAUGGCAUCAUUGCAGGAUGUGCCCCGUGCCCACCAGAGGGAGUAGGAAAAACACGUGGAGAGCAUUGACAGUUCAAAGAUAACUGCCCAGGAAUGAGAGAAGUCUUCAGAUGCUGCUAUGAGUUACAAAUUCUAAGGGGCUGAAAUACAUAACUGAGCUCGAAUCUGCUGUACGUGCACUUCUCCAGCAGCGAGCCGUGUCGGUACUGAAGCGAAGGCAAGAUGAGCUGGAAACGGAAUCUACUUAUAUGCAGCACCUGACAACGUAGGCCAGGUGCUACAUUUUGAACGUCGGGGUCUGCUGCUGCC